ensembl:lncRNA
AUGCUGAUGGGUUUACAUUCUAUCCCGAUUGCUUUGGUUACAUCUCUCCUUACUAUUGCCCCUAUUUCACUAUAUCUCCCUCAAUCUAAGUAUUGCAAUGUUUAUACAUUCCAUUUCUUAUUUUAUGAUGUCUUACUUCCCUUGAUUCACGUUUUUCACAUUCUGUGUUCCUAUAAUAUGUGUUCUGUAGCUUCAGAUUUUUUUCGUCUUUAAGCACAUCAAAAAUUCAAUUUCCUUUCAACUUGAAUCCAGUUGUGUCAUUAGCAACAGUGCUUCUCACAGUUAUCUGCUGUACAUCAGGAGCUUGUUGAGUCAUUUCAACCCAGGAGAGCCAUCUUCUGGCACUUUUUCUGGUGCAUCACAGUUUUUUCAUGGUAAAAAUAUUUUUUUAAAAAGGUUUACUAUACCUUGUUCUGCGCAGUCAGUGUUGCUAUGGUGCCACUGCUGUUUUCAUAGAGUUCCUUCACCAGUAAAACCCCCAUUACUGCUGAUGCCCAGUAACAUUGAUUCUGGCUUGGCACUGGAUCCUACCUGAUUUUGUAGCUAAGCAGGGCCAGCCCUGGUAAGUACUUGGAUAGAAGACUGCAAUAUUAAUAAUACAUAUUGUAGGCUUUAUUCCAGAGGAAGGAACUAGUAAAACCACUUCUUAACAUUCCUUACCUAGAAAGGGGUUGCCAUAGGUCAACAGGUGAUCUGAAGGUGCAUAUUUGCAUGCACACACACAUACAUAUAUAUACGCACACAUACGAACCUAAGCAAAAGCCUAUCUGACAUAGGAGAUCCUACCAUCAGCACUGUUACCAGCAGUAUGGCCUUUUGCCCCACAGGAGCACACAAUCCCCCCACCAAAGAAAGUGCCACAAUGACUAGCUGACCACAUUUCCGAGAGUACUUUUACAUGAAGUUGGCAUAGUUAAACUAUAAUAUGUUCUGUCCAUUAACAAUAGAUGGUCUAAGAAUAUAACCAUAAAAUAGUACCCAUAAAAUUGUAACCACAAAAUAGGAACCCCAAUGGCACAUUGGGUUAAACUCUUGUGCCAGCAUGACUGCUGACCUGAAGGUUGGGUUGCUGACCUGAAAGUUGCCGGUUCAAAUCCAACCUGGAGAGAGCAUGGAUGAGCUCCCUCUAUCCAUUCCAGCUUCAUGUGGGAGGCUUCAUGAGUGAAACCUCCCACAAGGAUAGUAAAACAUCAAAACAUCUGGGCGUCCCCUGGGCAACAUCCUUGCAGACGGCCAAUUCUCUCACAUCAGAAGCGACUUGCAGUUUCUCAAGUCGCUCCUGACACCCCCCCCUCCAUAAAAUCAUACAAGAUCCAACCACGUUGAUUUUCAAACCACAGGAGUAUAUUUUAAGAGGACAUGUACAUCUACAGAUGUGGGAGACUUUUCUCAUUUGAAAUUAAUUAAUUGUAAUACAUCCAACCAAAAAGUAGAAACUGGUGAACAUCCCCACAUCAUAUGCUACAAGGAAGUAUUAUCUGCAUCACAUCACCAACAUUCAGUUGAAAUGGGGAGUUUCCUUUCAAACAGGUGAUGGACCAAAUCUAAGGGCCUCAUCAUACCGGCAUCAAGGAGGAAAGAGGGUGCAGCGGGGAAAAAAUCUGUCAUCCUGUGGGCAGCUCCCUCUCCAUGACACUUUCCCCAUCACAUGGGGAAAUCGUCACCCUUCCAGCAAUGCCUCAUGCUAGCUCCAUUGGCACCGCACAGCACAGAAGCCUCCCAUAUUGGGGUGAAAAUGUCCUCUGUUGGAAGUCACAAUGGUGUGUGAUGUAAAGUGAGAUGUUCCAUCCCCUAGAUGGGAUGAAAGCAUCCUAGGAUGCUGAAUUCAUCCUGUCUGAUGAGGUCAUAAUUUGAAGUCUGAAAUGACUAAAGUAUUGAAACUAGAAUAAUAAUAAUAAUAAUUUAUUUUUCUCCCCCUCCACCAUCUCCCGGCAGGGACUCAGGGCGGCUACUGGGGUCAGAAACCCGAAAUACAAAACAACAAAUCAGUUAAAACACAUUAAAAUACAAGGACAGUUAAAACCAGCAGUUAUACAAACAGUUACCUUAACCAAAACAAUACAGUAGAUCAUAAAAAACUCAAUUAACAUAUAAAUAAUUUAAAAAUAAAAAUAGUUAAAAUAAAGUAAGAUAAAAUGGACCACCAGGUUGGUGGAGGGGAUGGCAUGAUAGGGCUAUCUAAACUAAAGUGCAAUGACAUAUUUCUAAAGUGCUUUGGGUCAAAGUGUAAACAUUC